rnacentral:tRNA from 1 species
GGACAAACCGCUACUGGUGAAGUUAAGGCGAUUGCUAAUUGUCUGGAAAAUCAACAAUUCCUUAGGAGUUCGACUCUCCUUUUGUCCG